UGCGGGGUGGAGCAGUGGCAGCUCGUCGGGCUCAUAACCCGAAGGCCAGAGGUUCGAGUCCUCUCCCCGCUA
rnacentral:tRNA from 3 species